rnacentral:rRNA from 1 species
AGUGGGGGAUAACGGCUCGAAAGGGUCGCUAAUACCGCAUACGUCCUACGGGAGAAAGAGGGGGAUCUUCGGACCUCUUGCUAAUAGAUGAGCCUAGGCCGGAUUAGCUAGUUGGUAGGGUAAAGGCCUACCAAGGCGACGAUCUGUAGCUGGUCUGAGAGGAUGGCCAGCCACACUGGAACUGAGACACGGUCCAGACUCCUACGGGAGGCAGCAGUGGGGAAUAUUGGACAAUGGGGGCAACCCUGAUCCAGCCAUGCCGCGUGUGUGAAGAAGGCCUUCGGGUUGUAAAGCAUUUUAAGCGAGGAGGAAGGUUUACUAGCUAAUACCUGGUAGAAUUGACGUUACUCGCAGAAUAAGCACCGGCUAACUCUGUGCCAGCAGCCGCGGUAAUACAGAGGGUGCAAGCGUUAAUCGGAAUUACUGGGCGUAAAGCGCGCGUAGGCGGUAUGUUAAGUCGGAUGUGAAAUCCCUGGGCUCAACCUAGGCACUGCAUCCGAUACUGGCACACUAGAGUGUGGGAGAGGAAGGUAGAAUACCAGGUGUAGCGGUGAAAUGCGUAGAGAUCUGGAGGAAUACCGAUGGCGAAGGCAGCCUUCUGGCCUAACACUGACGCUGAGGUGCGAAAGCAUGGGGAGCAAACAGGAUUAGAUACCCUGGUAGUCCAUGCUGUAAACGAUGUCAACUAGCCGUUGGGAGCCUUGAGCUUUUAGUGGCGUAGCUAACGCGAUAAGUUGACCGCCUGGGGAGUACGGUCGCAAGACUAAAACUCAAAUGAAUUGACGGGGGCCCGCUCAAGCGGUGGAGCAUGUGGUUUAAUUCGAUGCAACGCGAAGAACCUUACCUGGCCUUGACAUGUCUGGAAUCUUGCAGAGAUGCGAGAGUGCCUUCGGGAAUCAGAACACAGGUGCUGCAUGGCUGUCGUCAGCUCGUGUCGUGAGAUGUUGGGUUAAGUCCCGCAACGAGCGCAACCCUUUUCUUUAUUUGCCAGCACGUAAUGGUGGGAACUCUAAAGAUACUGCCGGUGACAAACCGGAGGAAGGCGGGGACGACGUCAAGUCAUCAUGGCCCUUACGGCCAGGGCUACACACGUGCUAUAAUGGUUGGUACAGAGGGUUGCUAAGCCGCGAGGCCACGCUAAUCUCACAAAGCCAAUCGUAGUCCAGAUUGGAGUCUGCAGCUCGACUCCAUGAAGUCGGAAUCGCUAGUAAUCGCGGAUCAGAAUGCCGCGGUGAAUACGUUCCCGGGCCUUGUACACACCGCCCGUCACACCAUGGGAGUUUGUUGCACCAGAAGUAGUUAGCCUAACCGCAAGGAGGGCGAUUACCACGGUGUGGCCAAUGACUGGGGUGAAGUCGUAACAAGGUA